rnacentral:rRNA from 1 species
GUGGGGAAUCUUGCGCAAUGGGCGAAAGCCUGACGCAGCCAUGCCGCGUGAAUGAUGAAGGUCUUAGGAUUGUAAAAUUCUUUCACCGGGGACGAUAAUGACGGUACCCGGAGAAGAAGCCCCGGCUAACUUCGUGCCAGCAGCCGCGGUUAUACGAAGGGGGCUAUCGUUGCUCGGAAUUACUGGGCGUAAAGGGCGCGUAGGCGGAUCGUUAAGUCAGGGGUGAAAUCCCAGAGCACAACUCUGGACCUGCACUUGAUACUGGCGAUCUUGAGUGUGAGAGAGGUAGGUGGAACUCCGAGUGUAGAGGUGAAAUUCGUAGAUAUUCGGAAGAACACCAGUGGCGAAGGCGACAUACUGGCUCAUUACUGACGCUGAGGCGCGAAAGCGUGGGGAGCAAACAGGAUUAGAAACCCCAGUAGUCC